rnacentral:lncRNA from 1 species
GGGUCCCAGUAACACCAGUAUGGACCAGUACGGCACUGGGAGUGUCCCAGUUUGGGACUAGGAGCCUCCCAGUAACACCAGUUUGGGACUGGGAUCAUCCCAGUGCUCCCAGUUUGGAACUGGGACCCUCCCAGUGCUCCCAGUUUGGGGCUGAAUUUCCUCGGAGUUGCCCCAAAUUCCCCCCCCCAAAUCCCAAAUCCCAAAUUUUGGUCCCUUCCCAAAAACCGAAAUUCCCAAAUUUUAAAGCUCCAAAGUUUUUAUUGGAUUCGUUCUCAAGUUUUGUUCAUUGAAGGGAAAAAUUCCCCAAAAAAAAAGAGAAAACAAAAAAAUAAAAAACCCCAAAAGUUGGGAAAAAAUGGAAAAAAAUAAUGGGAAAAAU